rnacentral:rRNA from 1 species
GACGAACGCUGGCGGCGUGCUUAACACAUGCAAGUCGAACGGAAAGGCCCUGCUUUUGUGGGGUGCUCGAGUGGCGAACGGGUGAGUAACACGUGAGUAACCUGCCCUUGACUUUGGGAUAACUUCAGGAAACUGGGGCUAAUACCGGAUAGGAGCUCCUGCUGCAUGGUGGGGGUUGGAAAGUUUCGGCGGUUGGGGAUGGACUCGCGGCUUAUCAGCUUGUUGGUGGGGUAGUGGCUUACCAAGGCUUUGACGGGUCGCCGGCCUGAGAGGGUGACCGGCCACAUUGGGCCUGAGAUACGGCCCAGACUCCUACGGGAGGCAGCAGUGGGGAAUAUUGCACAAUGGGCGGAAGCCGGAUGCAGCAACGCCGCGUGCGGGAUGACGGCCUUCGGGUUGUAAACCGCUUUCGCCUGUGACGAAGCGUGAGUGACGGUAAUGGGUAAAGAAGCACCGGCUAACUACGUG